CAGACUCCCUUAGCCCGCCAGCAUGCUGCAUAUAAGGAGUUUGUCGAGCAUAGGAAUCUCGAGGUGCGGGAGUACUUGAAACGAGUGAAGGCAAACGAUGAUUACAACCGUCAGAUGAUGACGGCUAUGUUGGCGUCUUGGACUAACCGCACGGAUCCACCACAAAUGGGACCCCCACCACCACCUGCGGGAGAACCCCCACACGUGCCCAC